CCCCUUUCCCACCCAGGUGUGUUCUCGCUAUUGUUCCAUCUGCAACUGAGCACCUUUUCUGCAGAAAGUAAAGACAGCCUUGCUAAGAGAUCAUUUGUCUCCAAGCUGACUUUUCUUUGCAGCACCGAUUAUCUAUUUCUAACAAUUUUGGGGGCUCGUCCAGGAUUACAGUCUCCUCUAGGGUGGGUCUCCAGUCCUCUCUUGUGAGAAGGCAUGCCCCACUACCUCGUUUUUGGCAGCCUCAGGGGUGAGGAACCGAGAUCCACCCAGUGUGAUGAAUAAACUGGGACUCUCAGCAACGUGGAAAGAAACUGGCUAGCAACGUAGGGUAAAGGAUCCUCACAUACUGCGGUAAUGACUCUGCACAGACCAAGGAAGGAGAAACCAUGGGAGCUGAGGUCUUUCAGCAGAGGCGCCGCCUUUGGAGUUUCCAGUACAUCAGCAUCGGCCUGGGGAUCACGUUCUCAUCAAAGGGUGGAAAGAAGGGAAACUUGAGCCAGCCUGGGAAGGACCCUGCAUUGUGCUGCUAACCACCGAGAUUGCUGUUUGUACAGCAGAAAAGGAUGGACACAUCACACCCUAGUCAAAGGCGUAUUGCUACAUUUGGGGCAAUGCGUACAUAUGUGGUUUCGUUAGCUCCAGCGGGGGCUAAUCCUCUGACAGAGCCACCUCUCACACGAAACACUGAAUGGAGGCGAUCCCGAGAUGGAUGGAGCAGCAGCAGCGCAGGUUGCUGCAGGUGUGGCUACAAGGAGAAGAUAGCUGUCUGCAAACUGUCCUCAUCAGACACUAGAUCUGCUGGUAUCUUGAUCUUGGACUUGGAAGCCUCCAGAUCUGUGAGAAAUAAAUGUUUGUUGUUUAAGCCACCCAAUAUAUGGUAUUCUGUUGUAGCAGCCUGAACUGACUAAGACAGCAAAAUUAAAAAGAUUAAUGAUAGUCUUUACAACGGCCUAAAAGGCCU
rnacentral:lncRNA from 1 species